AGAGUUUGAUCCUGGCUCAGGAUGAACGCUGGCGGCGUAGCUUAACACAUGCAAGUCGAACGAAGCUUAAUGAAACCUAGUGAUUUAAGCUUAGUGGCGGACGGGUGAGUAACGCGUGGGUAACCUGCCGCAUGCAGGGGGACAACGGAGGGAAACUUCUGCUAAUACCGCAUAAGCGCACGGAUUCGCAUGAAUCAGUGUGAAAAGAUUUAUCGGCAUGCGAUGGACCCGCGUCUGAUUAGGCAGUUGGCGGGUAACGGCCCACCAAACCGACGAUCAGUAGCCGGCCUGAGAGGGUGAACGGCCACAUUGGGACUGAGACACGGCCCAAACUCCUACGGGAGGCAGCAGUGGGGAAUAUUGCACAAUGGGGAAACCCUGAUGCAGCGACGCCGCGUGAGUGAAGAAGCAUUUCGGUGCGUAAAGCUCUGUCAGCAGGAAGAAAGUGACGGUACCUGACCAAGAAGCCCGGCUAACUACGUGCC
rnacentral:rRNA from 1 species